UACGUAGGGUGCGAGCGUUGUCCGGAAUUAUUGGGCGUAAAGAGCUCGUAGGCGGCUUGUCGCGUCGUCCGUGAAAACCCACAGCUCAACUGUGGGCUUGCGGUCGAUACGGGCAGGCUAGAGUUCGGUAGGGGAGACUGGAAUUCCUGGUGUAGCGGUGAAAUGCGCAGAUAUCAGGAAGAACACCCGUGGCGAAGGCGGCUCUCUGGGACGGUACUGACGCUGAGACGCGAAAGCGUGGGGAGCGAACAGG
rnacentral:rRNA from 1 species